UACCAGCGUUAAUGCACCGGAUCCCAUCAGAACUCCGCAGUUAAGCGCGCUUGGGCUAGAGUAGUACUGGGAUGGGUGACCUCCCAGGAAGUCCUAGUGUUGCACCCU
rnacentral:rRNA from 1 species